GUAUCCGUAGGUGAACCUGCGGAUGGAUCCAUC
rnacentral:rRNA from 1 species